GACGAACGCUGGCGGCGUGCCUAAUACAUGCAAGUAGAACGCUGAAGGAGGAGCUUUCUUCUCUGGAUGAGUUGCGAACGGGUGAGUAACGCGUAUGUAACCUGCCUGGUAGCGGGGGAUAACUAUUGGAAACGAUAGCUAAUACCGCAUAAUAGUAGAUGUUGCAUGACGUUUGCUUAAAAGGUGCAAUUGCAUCACUACCAGAUGGACCUGCGUUGUAUUAGCUAGUUGGUGGUGUAACGGCUCAACAAGGCGACGAUACAUAGCCGACCUGAGAGGGUGAUCGGCCACAAUGGGACUGAGAAACGGCCCAGACUCCUAAGGGAGGCAGCAGUAGGGAAUCUUCGGCAAUGGACGGAAGUCUGACCGAGCAAAGCCGCGUGAGUGAAGAAGGUUUUCGGAUCGUAAAGCUCUGUUGUAAGAGAAGAACGAGUGUGAGAGUGGAAAGUUCACACUGUGACGGUAUCUUAUCAGAAAGGGACGGCUAACUACGUG
rnacentral:rRNA from 1 species